rnacentral:lncRNA from 1 species
UAUAUAUAUUAUAUCAAAUCAUCAACCAAAUCGAUCAACAUAUAUAUAUAUAUAUACGUCCAACAUACUCAAAAUCAAUCAACUCGAUCAUAACAAUAUUAUAUAUCAACAUCAUCAACUCAUAUAUAUCAUCAACAACUUCAUACCAUAUCAACACAUUAAUAUUAUAAAUUAAUUAACAUAUAUAAUUAUAUAUAUUUACUAUUUAUUAACAACAACUUAAUUCAUAUAUAUUAUCAAAUCAUCAACCAAAUCGAUCAACACAUAUAUAUAUACAUCCAACGUACUCAAAAUCAAUCAACUCAAUCACACUCAAAAUCAAUCAACUCAAAUAAAACUCAAUUAAUCAACAUAUAUAUACAUGUACGUACCUAUAUAUAGCUCCACAAACUAAUUAUGGACAGAUUUCGACAACACCCAAACUUUUUCUCCCGUUUUUCUUCUCCUGUUUUUUUUCCCAGAUGAGCUGCUACUGGCCAGAUCUGCAAAUAUAAAGCACUUUAACCGACGACAUAUUAAUUUCGUCAGCUAAACUUUUAAAUAUUUCGUCGGCCAUAGUCUGUGAACUUUAGCAGACGAAAUAAAUUCUUUAGCCGACGACAUCUUAAUUUCGUCGGCUAAAGUUUACCAUAGCCGACGAAAAUUUAAUUUAGCCGACGAAUGAAAAUUUCGUCGGCUAAAAUAAACUUUAGCCGACGAAAAAAUGGUUCGUCGGCCUGGUUUUUUUUUUUUCGUCGGCUAAAGCCUUUCUUCUGGUAGUGCUGGUUUCCCUCUACCAAGUGUUAUUCCAGCAAGUUAUGUUAAGGCGGUAAUCCGACCGACUCUUGUUGGGACCAAGAAGGGUCUUGAUAUGGAUAUGUGUACUUUUGGAAAGAGGGGACGUAGUGAAGACAAUGGGAUAGACAUGCAACAAUCUUUGGUGUCCUAUGAACUCUCCUUUAACCCUAAGAUGGUGUUGGCGCACUCUAGAGGACAAAUCACGGUGUAACCAGCUAAGAAACGUAAAGUUGGUCGUCCUAAAGGUUUUGUGUCACAUCCCGACCCUUAUAUUUUUACCUUAUUUACUAGCGUGAUUAUAAUAAGAAUUUUACCGUUUCGAUCAAUGAGUAAAUAGUUUAAUUGGUCCCUAGAGGGGUUUCGAGGACGAUUAUGUGCGGAUGAUUAUUCGUAUGAUGAAAAUACGACGACGGUAAAAAUAGUAAUUUUAGCUAGUAAAAGGUAAUUUUUAUUCGGGUAUUAUUUUUCGGGGUGUUUUUAUUUUUGGAAUUUGGGUUGAUAUAGGUUGGACCGGUUUGGGGUGUGAGGCCCAAACCCACUUUUCUUUCUCUUCCUCCCGAUUUCCUCUCCUCACCCGUCCCGCACCCGAGCCUCCCGCUGCCCGGUUUUCCGGCCGUCCUCCCGCCGCCGUCCGGCCGCCCCAGACCGCCGCACCGGUCCCGUUCGGUCGACCUCCAACCCAGCAACCUUCCUGGACCGGUGAGAGGAGCCCUAGCGCCGCCGUGAGUGAGCGGUGCCGCCCGAAAGCUUCGACUGCCGAAUUGGUUUUCUUGCUGGAACUUCCUCCUCCGGCCACCAAUCCGGGCAAGCUUGGUACGGUUUUGUAGCCCUCCUCCCGUACAACAACCCCUCCAAGUAGCUCCCUCCCUCUUGAGCUAGGUAAGGAGAAAUGUGGAGUUGAAAUUUCUAGGCUUUUAAGUUAUUUUCGUUCGAUUAGCCUAGUUAGGCUUGGAAUUGGGUGAUGUGUUGGUCAUGAAAGUUGUAGAGGAGAUUGAGAGGAAGAUUCUGUUAAAAUUUGGUAGCAUUUGCAGGUCGCCGGAAAACGGCUGCCGGCGGAGCCGCCGGCGGCGCCGCCGCCAGUUAGGAGAUUUUUAUGGUUUUUGAUGUAGAAUAUUAAGGGGAUAUUAUUGAAGUGAAUUAUGGAAUUUUUGGAUGAGAUUUGGAUAGGUUUGUGAAUUUCCGAAGUUUGGUAUUUUUGGCGGUUAAUUAAUGUAGAAUCCGGCCGUAGGAUUUAAGUCGUAUUUUGGAGAGGUGGUAUUUACGACUGUUGAGUAUGAUAUUUAAGUUCGGAUUGUUCCGAUGUAAGAAUAUCGAAGUUAGGCAAUGAUGAGCGUAUUAAUGGCUCUCGGGUAAUUUUGCCUAUUUUGAUUAAAUAUUGGAUAUUGGUUGGGAAAUUAAUAUUAUAUUUGGAACAGGACGUGAAGAGGCUCGAGCAGACGAGACCCCAGAUUGACAUCAGGCUUAGGCCUAAUUCGUGAGUGGACGUUUAUUU